rnacentral:rRNA from 1 species
AUUGAACGCUGGCGGCAGGCCUAACACAUGCAAGUCGAGCGGAUGAAGGGAGCUUGCUCCUGGAUUCAGCGGCGGACGGGUGAGUAAUGCCUAGGAAUCUGCCUGGUAGUGGGGGAUAACGUCCGGAAACGGGCGCUAAUACCGCAUACGUCCUGAGGGAGGAAGUGGGGGAUCUUCGGACCUCACGCUAUCAGAUGAGCCUAGGUCGGAUUAGCUAGUUGGUGGGGUAAAGGCCUACCAAGGCGACGAUCCGUAACUGGUCUGAGAGGAUGAUCAGCAACACUGGAAGUAAGACCAGGGCGCAAACCCCAGGGGAGGGAGCGGGGGGGAAUUUGGGAAAAGGGGAGAAAGCCUAACCACGCCAAGCGGCGGGGUUGAAGAAGGUCUUCGAUUUGUAAAGACAUUUAAGUUGGGGGGAAGGGCAGUAAAUUAAUACCUUGCUUUUUUGCAAUUACCAACAAAAUAAGCACCGGCCAACUUCAU